rnacentral:rRNA from 1 species
UUAAGCGACUAAGCGUACACGGUGGAUGCCCUGGCAGUCAGAGGCGAUGAAGGACGUGCUAAUCUGCGAUAAGCGUCGGUAAGGUGAUAUGAACCGUUAUAACCGGCGAUUUCCGAAUGGGGAAACCCAGUGUGAUUCGUCACACUAUCAUUAACUGAAUCCAUAGGUUAAUGAGGCGAACCGGGGGAACUGAAACAUCUAAGUACCCCGAGGAAAAGAAAUCAACCGAGAUUCCCCCAGUAGCGGCGAGCGAACGGGGAGCAGCCCAGAGCCUGAAUCAGUGUGUGUGUUAGUGGAAGCGUCUGGAAAGGCGCGCGAUACAGGGUGACAGCCCCGUACACAAAAAUGCACAUAUUGUGAGCUCGAUGAGUAGGGCGGGACACGUGGUAUCCUGUCUGAAUAUGGGGGGACCAUCCUCCAAGGCUAAAUACUCCUGACUGACCGAUAGUGAACCAGUACCGUGAGGGAAAGGCGAAAAGAACCCCGGCGAGGGGAGUGAAAAAGAACCUGAAACCGUGUACGUACAAGCAGUGGGAGCACGCUUAGGCGUGUGACUGCGUACCUUUUGUAUAAUGGGUCAGCGACUUAUAUUCUGUAGCAAGGUUAACCGAAUAGGGGAGCCGAAGGGAAACCGAGUCUUAACUGGGCGUUAAGUUGCAGGGUAUAGACCCGAAACCCGGUGAUCUAGCCAUGGGCAGGUUGAAGGUUGGGUAACACUAACUGGAGGACCGAACCGACUAAUGUUGAAAAAUUAGCGGAUGACUUGUGGCUGGGGGUGAAAGGCCAAUCAAACCGGGAGAUAGCUGGUUCUCCCCGAAAGCUAUUUAGGUAGCGCCUCGUGAAUUCAUCUCCGGGGGUAGAGCACUGUUUCGGCAAGGGGGUCAUCCCGACUUACCAACCCGAUGCAAACUGCGAAUACCGGAGAAUGUUAUCACGGGAGACACACGGCGGGUGCUAACGUCCGUCGUGAAGAGGGAAACAACCCAGACCGCCAGCUAAGGUCCCAAAGUCAUGGUUAAGUGGGAAACGAUGUGGGAAGGCCCAGACAGCCAGGAUGUUGGCUUAGAAGCAGCCAUCAUUUAAAGAAAGCGUAAUAGCUCACUGGUCGAGUCGGCCUGCGCGGAAGAUGUAACGGGGCUAAACCAUGCACCGAAGCUGCGGCAGCGACGCUUAUGCGUUGUUGGGUAGGGGAGCGUUCUGUAAGCCUGUGAAGGUGUACUGUGAGGUAUGCUGGAGGUAUCAGAAGUGCGAAUGCUGACAUAAGUAACGAUAAAGCGGGUGAAAAGCCCGCUCGCCGGAAGACCAAGGGUUCCUGUCCAACGUUAAUCGGGGCAGGGUGAGUCGACCCCUAAGGCGAGGCCGAAAGGCGUAGUCGAUGGGAAACAGGUUAAUAUUCCUGUACUUGGUGUUACUGCGAAGGGGGGACGGAGAAGGCUAUGUUGGCCGGGCGACGGUUGUCCCGGUUUAAGCGUGUAGGCUGGUUUUCCAGGCAAAUCCGGAAAAUCAAGGCUGAGGCGUGAUGACGAGGCACUACGGUGCUGAAGCAACAAAUGCCCUGCUUCCAGGAAAAGCCUCUAAGCAUCAGGUAACAUCAAAUCGUACCCCAAACCGACACAGGUGGUCAGGUAGAGAAUACCAAGGCGCUUGAGAGAACUCGGGUGAAGGAACUAGGCAAAAUGGUGCCGUAACUUCGGGAGAAGGCACGCUGAUAUGUAGGUGAAGCGACUUGCUCGUGGAGCUGAAAUCAGUCGAAGAUACCAGCUGGCUGCAACUGUUUAUUAAAAACACAGCACUGUGCAAACACGAAAGUGGACGUAUACGGUGUGACGCCUGCCCGGUGCCGGAAGGUUAAUUGAUGGGGUCAGCGCAAGCGAAGCUCUUGAUCGAAGCCCCGGUAAACGGCGGCCGUAACUAUAACGGUCCUAAGGUAGCGAAAUUCCUUGUCGGGUAAGUUCCGACCUGCACGAAUGGCGUAAUGAUGGCCAGGCUGUCUCCACCCGAGACUCAGUGAAAUUGAACUCGCUGUGAAGAUGCAGUGUACCCGCGGCAAGACGGAAAGACCCCGUGAACCUUUACUAUAGCUUGACACUGAACAUUGAGCCUUGAUGUGUAGGAUAGGUGGGAGGCUUUGAAGUGUGGACGCCAGUCUGCAUGGAGCCGACCUUGAAAUACCACCCUUUAAUGUUUGAUGUUCUAACGUGGACCCGUAAUCCGGGUUGCGGACAGUGUCUGGUGGGUAGUUUGACUGGGGCGGUCUCCUCCUAAAGAGUAACGGAGGAGCACGAAGGUUGGCUAAUCCUGGUCGGACAUCAGGAGGUUAGUGCAAUGGCAUAAGCCAGCUUGACUGCGAGCGUGACGGCGCGAGCAGGUGCGAAAGCAGGUCAUAGUGAUCCGGUGGUUCUGAAUGGAAGGGCCAUCGCUCAACGGAUAAAAGGUACUCCGGGGAUAACAGGCUGAUACCGCCCAAGAGUUCAUAUCGACGGCGGUGUUUGGCACCUCGAUGUCGGCUCAUCACAUCCUGGGGCUGAAGUAGGUCCCAAGGGUAUGGCUGUUCGCCAUUUAAAGUGGUACGCGAGCUGGGUUUAGAACGUCGUGAGACAGUUCGGUCCCUAUCUGCCGUGGGCGCUGGAGAACUGAGGGGGGCUGCUCCUAGUACGAGAGGACCGGAGUGGACGCAUCACUGGUGUUCGGGUUGUCAUGCCAAUGGCACUGCCCGGUAGCUAAAUGCGGAAGAGAUAAGUGCUGAAAGCAUCUAAGCACGAAACUUGCCCCGAGAUGAGUUCUCCCUGACUCCUUGAGAGUCCUGAAGGAACGUUGAAGACGACGACGUUGAUAGGCCGGGUGUGUAAGCGCAGCGAUGCGUUGAGCUAACCGGUACUAAUGAACCGUGAGGCUUAACCUU